CAUAACAUGUUGUCUAGAAACUUUUUUUUUGAUCAGCAAGAGUCUCACUCUGUCGCCCAGGCUGGAGUGCAGUGGCAUGAUCUCAGCUCACUACAACCUGUCUCCCGGGUUCAAGCGAUUCUCCUGCCUCAGCCUCCUGAGUAGCUGGGAUUACAGACAGAAGAGUUCCUGGAAAUGCCUUUUGUUUGAAAACACUGUCUGUCCUAACCGCUCAGAGCCAAGAACAGAGGACGAGUCCCGCUAUUAAGGAGUAAACCUUGUGAAGCAGGCGGUGGUAGAAGACACUGUCUGCUUCCUGUACAGUGGAGAAUCUGAUUUGGGGUCUGUGAUUUGAAGGAGGGUAUUCCCAGAUUUGGUGUCAUUUUCCCCUGGCCAGUCUCCCUUCCUCUUUUCUUAUACCUCAUGAGGGAAAAUGAACAGCCACAGCCAAAAGGAAGUGAAAUCCAUCAGCUAUGCCCAGUUUCUGCCCAAUAUCCAGAGUUGUUAAUGUCAUUCAUUUUUUUGGAAGCCUCUUCAAAUCCUUUUUGGAAUAAAAAUAGUUAUUAUACAUAA